rnacentral:sRNA from 1 species
UCUCCGAGGCGACCUGGCCGCCGGCCGCUCCUCCGCGCGCUGUUCCGCACUUGCUGCCCUCGCCCGGCCCGGAGCGCCGCUGCCAUGCGGCUGGCGCUGCUCUGGGCUCUGGGGCUCCUGGGCGCGGGCAGCCCUCUGCCUUCCUGGCCGCUCCCAAAUAUAGGUGGCACUGAGGAGCAGCAGGCAGAGUCAGAGAAGGCCCCGAGGGAGCCCUUGGAGCCCCAGGUCCUUCAGGACGAUCUCCCAAUUAGCCUCAAAAAGGUGCUUCAGACCAGUCUGCCUGAGCCCCUGAGGAUCAAGUUGGAGCUGGACGGUGACAGUCAUAUCCUGGAGCUGCUACAGAAUAGGGAGUUGGUCCCAGGCCGCCCAACCCUGGUGUGGUACCAGCCCGAUGGCACUCGGGUGGUCAGUGAGGGACACACUCUGCUAGGCUCCUCAGUUCCAGUCCUGGUGUGCUCUCUGAGAUAGCACUAAUGUUGUUCCCGUGCUGCA